rnacentral:lncRNA from 1 species
GGGGGGGGGGGGGGGGGGGGGGGGGGGGGGGGGGGGGGGGGGGGGGGGGGGGGGGUUCAGGUACAAGAAGCAUGGAAAUGGAGACUUUAACCCCAGGAGUGGGUAGUCACUCCCCACCUCCAUCAUGCUCCUCAGAGGCAGGAAUGGGCUGCUGGGUCAGGCUGGCAAGGCCUCAUCUCAGGAGUCCUGCUCUGAGCCAUUCCAGGCAAGGAGGAAGGCUCCACUGGGCUUCCGCCAUCUGCUAGGAACACUUAUUUUGAACCCCCAGCACUCCCUUCAUCACCAUCAGCUUCAUCACCAGCACCACUUGAAGGCUGGGCAGGGCACUUCACAGGUGGAAUCUCAUUCCAUGUACUCUGUCCACCCUGGAUCUGAACCAGAUUUUUGGGGACCAGGAGAGCUCUUAGCCCUAUGUUGAGUCUGUUGGUUGCCAUCUCAUAUCCACCCCCGCCUUCAUCCUUAUUAUACUGUUGUAUAUUAGAAGUGGCAAGGCACCCAGUUUAAAACAAACGUAUUUCCCAGACUCCCUUUAAGAGCGAGGUGGCUGAUGAUACAUUGCUGGAGGGGGCAGGGUUCAGGGGAAAUUCAUUCGAGGAUCUUGACUGAGCUGACAGAUAUGUUUUGCCCUAUCUCCUGUACUCCUUCCUUCCUCAAACUUGUGCUGGCUGGAGCUCCAGCUGCCAUCUUGGACUAUGUGGUAACCCUAAAGAUAAAAACGCACGCAAAGGAUGGAGAGAGAGAAAGCUGGAAGGAGCCUGGGACAUCAUGACAUCAUGGAGCUGUCACAGAAACUCUUUACUGGCUUAUCUAUGGACUUCUUUUAUUUGAAAGAAAAUAAAGCUCUAUCUUAUUAAAUUA